UUUUUGUAUUUUUAGUAUAGAUGGGGUUUCACCAUGUUGGCUAGGAUGGUCUCGAUCUCUUGACCUCGUGAUCUGCCUGCCUCGGCCUCCCAAAGUGCUGGGAUUACAGGCGUGGUGUGAGCCACCACGCCUGGCCUAGAAAUACAUUUCUUAAUUUCCCUUCUUAAUUACUGAUUUUUAACUUAAUUUCACUUUUGCCAGCCAGAGAACAUACAUGAACAUUUAUGAUCUUACAUAGAAAACAUUUAUGAUUUCAGUUCCAUGAAAUUUGUUAAAACUUCCUUUUAUGAUCCAGGAUAUGGCCAAUUUUUAUAAAUGUUUUGUGUGUUUAAAAAUCAUGUGUACUCUGCAGUUACUGAGUAAUUUUUUAUAGGUAUCAGGGCAAAUUUAGUUAAAAUGUUAUCAUCAUAAACUUCACAAUUCAGUAAUGCCUUUUGCCUUAAAUAUUACUUUGUCUGUUAUUAACCCAGCUACACUCGAUUUCUGUUGGUUUGAUGUUUGCCAUGGUGUACUAUUUCCCCUCCUUUUACUUUAACUCUUUUGAAAUCCUUUUAUUGGCCAGGCUCGGUGGCUCACACUUGGAAUCCCAGCACUUCAGGGAGGCCGAGGCGGGUGGAUCAUGAGUUUGGGAGUUCAAGACCAGCCUGGCCACGAUGGUGAAACCCCAUCUCUACUAAAAAUACAAAAAAUUAGCCAGGUGUGGUGGUAGGCGCCUGUAAUUCCAGCUACUCGGGAGGCUGAGGCAGUGAAUUGCUUGAACCCAGGAGGCAGAGGUUGCAGUGAGCCGAGAUUGCGCCGCUACACUCCAGCCUGAGCAACAGAGCCAGACUCUGUCUC
rnacentral:lncRNA from 1 species